rnacentral:rRNA from 1 species
GAUCCUGGCUCAGGAUGAACGCUAGCUACAGGCUUAACACAUGCAAGUCGAGGGGCAGCGGGAAGUCAGCUUGCUGACUUUGCCGGCGACCUGCGCACGGGUGAGUAACACGUAUCCAACCUUCCCGUUACUCUGGAAUAGCCUUUCGAAAGAAAGAUUAAUACCGGAUAGUAUCGAGAGAUUGCAUGAUAACCCGAUUAAAGAUUCAUCGGUAACGGAUGGGGAUGCGUUCCAUUAGGCAGG